rnacentral:rRNA from 3 species
UGGUGGGUAGUUUGACUGGGGCGGUCUCCUCCUAAAGAGUAACGGAGGAGCACGAAGGUUGGCUAAUCCUGGUCGGACAUCAGGAGGUUAGUGCAAUGGCAUAAGCCAGCUUGACUGCGAGCGUGACGGCGCGAGCAGGUGCGAAAGCAGGUCAUAGUGAUCCGGUGGUUCUGAAUGGAAGGGCCAUCGCUCAACGGAUAAAAGGUACUCCGGGGAUAACAGGCUGAUACCGCCCAAGAGUUCAUAUCGACGGCGGUGUUUGGCACCUCGAUGUCGGCUCAUCACAUCCUGGGGCUGAAGUAGGUCCCAAGGGUAUGGCUGUUCGCCAUUUAAAGUGGUACGCGAGCUGGGUUUAGAACGUCGUGAGACAGUUCGGUCCCUAUCUGCCGUGGGCGCUGGAGAACUGAGGGGGGCUGCUCCUAGUACGAGAGGACCGGAGUGGACGCAUCACUGGUGUUCGGGUUGUCAUGCCAAUGGCACUGCCCGGUAGCUAAAUGCGGAAGAGAUAAGUGCUGAAAGCAUCUAAGCACGAAACUUGCCCCGAGAUGAGUUCUCCCUGAGACUUAGAGUCUCCUGAAGGAACGUUGAAGACGACGACGUUGAUAGGCCGGGUGUGUAAGCGCAGCGAUGCGUUGAGCUAACCGGUACUAAUGAACC